CAUAUCUUAUACCCGCACCCACUCGCGCGAGAUCCGCUCCGACGAUCUGACCCGUUCAUACCGUGUGCCCCACAGUUGGACCCACAUGAUGCUACACUCGAGUGAGAGCAGAGUAGCUUGGCUCUCGCAUUCACAUUUCUAUAUAUAGAGGCGCACAUACUUACAGAACGCCCCUACAUAUAUACAAGAGAAAAGCUUCGUCUAGACAGGGACAAGAGAACCAAUUGUCCUUCACUCUAUUUAUAAUCCAUAUAUCUUUUCCUUUUCUCUUAAAUUUUGGAUUUCAUUUCCUUUUCUCUGAAAUUUUGGAAAAAAAGUUUGGGAAUUUGAAGCGCGGGAUUGAUUUCUGAAUUGGGGAUUUCUCUGUCUGUUGUUUGAUUGCUGAGAGUGUGUGAGAAUGAGAUUGAAGGGCGAGAUUCACAAUCCUUGCUACGACGAAGAAGAAGAGAAGGUGGCUGAGGAAAACGGCAGGGAAUUGAAUUCGAUUGUCGGCGUUGGGAUUUCUCCGCCUCCGAAACUCGUCGUUGGCUAUGCCUUGACCUCCAAGAAGAAGAAGAGCUUCUUGCAGCCCAAACUUCUUGGCUUGGCGCGGAAUAUGGGAAUAUUCUUCAUUUCAAUUGAUCUAAACAGGCCACUUUCAGAUCAAGGCCCCUUUGAUGUUGUUUUGCAUAAGUUGGCAGGAAAAGAGUGGUCCGAGAUUAUUGAGGAUUACAGACAAAAACAUCCAGAAGUAACUGUCCUUGAUCCACCAAAUGCAGUACAACAUCUACACAACCGCCAGUCCAUGCUUCAGGGCGUGGCAGAUCUGAAUUUGUCCGACUGCCAUGGCAGGGUUGGUGUUCCAAAGCAGUUGAUUGUUACAAAAGAUCCAUUAUCUAUUCCUAAUGAAGUUGAUAAAGCUGGGCUCAAAUUGCCGCUGGUUGCUAAACCGCUACUUGUGGAUGGUAGUGCCAAGUCACAUGAACUAUUUCUUGCUUACGACCAAUGCUCACUCUCAGAACUUGAACCUCCGUUGGUUCUGCAGGAGUUUGUAAAUCAUGGUGGUGUUCUCUUUAAAGUUUAUAUUGUUGGGGAAGCCAUAAAGGUUGUCAGGCGUUUCUCUCUUCCUAAUAUCAGUAAACGUGAACUAGAAAAACUUGCUGGUGUGUUCCGUUUCCCCAGGGUUUCAUGUGCUGCAGCUUCAGCAGAUGAUGCAGACCUGGACCCCAGCAUUGCUGAACUUCCUGAACGACCUUUGUUAGAGAACCUUGCAAGGCAGCUCCGCCAACGAUUGGGCCUCCGGUUAUUCAAUGUUGAUAUGAUCCGAGAGCACGGGACAAAGGAUGUCUUUUAUGUGAUUGACAUCAACUACUUUCCUGGUUACGGCAAAAUGCCAGACUAUGAACACAUAUUUACAGAUUUCCUGCUAAGCCUUGUUCAGAGCAAGCAUAAGAAGAGACCUGCUACUUAAUCAUUGCCACAACCCACUGUAUAUGAUGUUUCUUGCAAGCAGAUGUAGGCCUCCUUGGAACUUGAGGAACGGUCACAUCCUGUUUUAACUUCUGUAAUUACCGAUUGGCUGAAAAGUAGCAAAUGUCUCCUGUACGUGUAAACUUCCAUUUUAACAAAUGAAAUCAUCACCACCUAAUUCAUGUGGGGGCGUUUACAGAUUCUCAGGGGCUUGGUGCCACCCUUCCCCACUCCGUUUUCACCAUUUUCAGUUGGCUUGUAUUUGUAGUUUUUGGGGAUGUAUUCAAUUAAGAUUUUAAAAGAGUUUUAUGUUAAUUGA